rnacentral:rRNA from 1 species
GACGAACGCUGGCGGCGUGCCUAAUACAUGCAAGUCGAACGCAGUGGGGACGGGUGAGUAACACGUGGGUAACCUCCCAUCAGAGGGGAUAACCCCUGGACACAGGUGCUAAACCGCUACUGAUGGAUGGACCCGCGGUGCAUUAGCGAGUGGGUGAGGUAACGGCUCACCAAGGCGACGAUGCAUAGCUGGUCUGAGAGGGUGAUCGGCCACACGGGGACUGAUACACGGCCCAGACUCCUACGGGAGGCAGCAGUAGGGAAUCUUGGACAAUGGACGAAAGUCUGACCCAGCAACGCCGCGUGAGUGAAGAAGGUUUUCGGAUCGUAAAGCACUGUUGUUAGAGAAGCGGUAUCUAACCAGAAAGCCACGGCUAACUACGUGCCAGCAGCCGCGGUAAUUC